AUCUAGCUGACCAGUCCCAAAUAGGAUGAAACGCGCGUGCUGGAU
rnacentral:hammerhead_ribozyme from 1 species